GAUGAACGCUGGCGGCGUGCCUAAUACAUGCAAGUCGAGCGAACAGACGAGGAGCUUGCUCCUCUGACGUUAGCGGCGGACGGGUGAGUAACACGUGGAUAACCUACCUAUAAGACUUGGAUAACUUCGGGAAACCGGAGCUAAUACCGGAUAAUAUAUUGAACCGGAUGGUUCAAUAGUGAAAGACGGUUUUGCUGUCACUUAUAGAUGUAUCCGCGCCGCAUUAGCUAGUUGGUAAGGUAACGGCUUACCAAGGCAACGAUGCGUAGCCGACCUGAGAGGGUGAUCGGCCACACUGGAACUGAGCCACGGUCCAGACUCCUACGGGAGGCAGCAGUAGGGAAUCUUCCGCACUGGGCGAAAGCCUGACGGAGCAACGGAGCGUGAGUGAUGAAGGUCUUCGGAUCGUAUAACUCUGUUAUUAGGGAAGAACAAAUGUGUAAGUAACUAUGCACGUCUUGACGGUACCUAAUCAGAAAGCCACGGCUAACUACGUG
rnacentral:rRNA from 1 species